rnacentral:rRNA from 1 species
AUUGAACGCUGGCGGCAGGCCUAACACAUGCAAGUCGAACGCGAGGGGCGCGGGUGAGUAAUGUCUGGGAAAAUGUGCGAUGGAGGGGGAGAUCAACGGGAAAAGGUAGUUAAUAUCGCAUACCCUAGGGUGUGCCCAGAUGGGAUUAGCUAGUAGGGGGGGUAACGGCUCACCUAGGCGACGAUCCCUAGCUGGUCUGAGAGGAUGACCAGCCACACUGGAACUGAGACACGGUCCAGACUCCUACGGGAGGCAGCAGUGGGGAAUAUUGCACAAUGGGCGCAAGCCUGAUGCAGCCAUGCCGCGUGUGUGAAGAAGGCCUUCGGGUUGUAAAGCACUUUCAGCGAGGAGGCGUUACUCGCAGAAGAAGCACCGGCUAACUCCGUGCCAGCAGCCGCGGUAAUUC